GCGUCACCGCCAACGCCCGAGGGGUGGAGGCUCGUGCUCGCGCUCCCCAUUGAGAAGCGCAUACUACAAACGCCUCCUCCCCUCCCUUCCGUGUGGCGUCGCGCACGCGCACGCACAAUACGUACGAGCGAACGUGAAGUGAAAUAAGGCCAGUGGGGCGGCACACCCCGAAGUCCUGCGGCUGUGCAACCAGGUGGACGCUUUGCUGAACUAACAAGGCGGCGCAAAGUGUGCGCUUGUUCUCGCUGGGUGGCUGCCUGAAAUGUCAGCGCUGAAGGAACAGAUAGUGAAGGCUUGUAAAAAGACGCCUUCUUGUGGACAAUGGGUGCAACUGUCUCGGGUCAAGAUGUGGAAGAAGAAACAAAAAUGAGGAAAACACAGAAAAGCAUGGUGACCAGCAGCACCAGAGCGCCGAUGGUGGCCAUCAUGCCACCAUAGUAGGAGAGCAAAGCAUCACGACAGCCGCUCCUCCACACGUUGAGGUCCUCGGUGUGGUGGUCGUAGC